rnacentral:rRNA from 1 species
GACAGAGGAUGCAAGCGUUAUCCGGAAUGAUUGGGCGUAAAGCGUCUGUAGGUGGCUUUUCAAGUCCGCCGUCAAAUCCCAGGGCUCAACCCUGGACAGGCGGUGGAAACUACCAAGCUGGAGUACGGUAGGGGCAGAGGGAAUUUCCGGUGGAGCGGUGAAAUGCGUAGAGAUCGGAAGGAACACCUGUGGCGAAAGCGGCUCACUGGACCAUAACUGACGCUGAGGCGCGAAAGCUAGGGGAGCAAACAGG